rnacentral:rRNA from 1 species
CCUACGGGGUGCAGCAGUGAGGAAUAUUGGUCAAUGGACGAGAGUCUGAACCAGCCAAGUAGCGUGAAGGAUGACUGCCCUAUGGGUUGUAAACUUCUUUUAUAAAGGAAUAAAACGAGGCACGUGUGCCUUUUUGUAUGUACUUUAUGAAUAAGGAUCGGCUAACUCCGUGCCAGCAGCCGCGGUAAUACGGAGGAUCCGAGCGUUAUCCGGAUUUAUUGGGUUUAAAGGGAGCGUAGAUGGGUUGUUAAGUCAGUUGUGAAAGUUUGCGGCUCAACCGUAAAAUUGCAAUUGAUACUGGCAGUCUUGAGUACAGUUGAGGUAGGCGGAAUUCGUGGUGUAGCGGUGAAAUGCUUAGAUAUCACGAAGAACCCCGAUUGCGAAGGCAGCUUACUAAACUGUGACUGACAUUGAUGCUCGAAAGUGUGGGUAUCAAACAGGAUUAGAUACCCCAGUAGUC